CGGCAGGCCUAACACAUGCAAGUCGACGGUAACAGGAAGCAGCUUGCUGCUUCGCUGACGAGUGGCGGACGGGUGAGUAAUGUCUGGGAAACUGCCUGAUGAGGGGGAUAACUACUGGAAACGGUAGCUAAUACCGCAUAACGUCGCAAGACCAAAGAGGGGGACCUUCGGGCCUCUUGCCAUCAGAUGUGCCCAGAUGGGAUUAGCUAGUUGGUGGGGUAACGGCUCACCAAGGCGACGAUCCCUAGCUGGUCUGAGAGGAUGACCAGCCACACUGGAACUGAGACACGGUCCAGACUCCUACGGGAGGCAGCAGUGGGGAAUAUUGCACAAUGGGCGCAAGCCUGAUGCAGCCAUGCCGCGUGUAUGAAGAAGGCCUUCGGGUUGUAAAGUACUUUCAGCGGGGAGGAAGGUGUUGUGGUUAAUAACCGCAGCAAUUGACGUUACCCGCAGAAGAAGCACCGGCUAACUCCGUGCCAGCAGCCGC
rnacentral:rRNA from 1 species